ACGAAGGUGGCAAGCGUUGUUCGGUAUUACUGGGCUUAAAGCGUGUGUAGGCGGAAAAGUAAGCGUUUUGUGAAAUCCCUCGGCUUAACCGAGGAAUUGCUUGACGAACUGCUUUUCUUGAGGCAAGUAGGGGUGUACGGAACUCUUGGUGGAGCGGUGGAAUGCGUAGAUAUCAAGAGGAACGCCAGAGGUGAAGACGGUACACUGGGCUUGUCCUGACGCUGAGACACGAAAGCGUGGGGAGCAAACAGG
rnacentral:rRNA from 1 species